AUUCCCCUAGUAACUGCGAGUGAAGCGGGAAAAGCUCAAAUUUAAAAUCUGAUGGUCUUUGGCCAUCCGAGUUGUAAUUUAGAGAAGCGUUUUCCGCGCUGGACCGUGCACAAGUCUCCUGGAAUGGAGCGUCAUAGAGGGUGAGAAUCCCGUCUUUGGCACGGACACAACCAGGGCUUUUGUGAUGUGCUCUCGAAGAGUCGAGUUGUUUGGGAAUGCAGCUCAAAAUGGGUGGUGAACUCCAUCUAAAGCUAAAUAUUGGCGAGAGACCGAUAGCGAACAAGUACCGUGAGGGAAAGAUGAAAAGCACUUUGGAAAGAGAGUGAAACAGUACGUGAAAUUGUUGAAAGGGAAACGCUUAAAGUCAGUCGCGUCGACCGAGACUCAGCCUUGCCUCGGCUUGGUGUAUUUCUUGGCCGACGGGUCAGCAUCAAUUUUGCCCCUUGGAUAAUGGCGAGGGAAAUGUGACACCAUCAUGGUGUGUUAUAGUCUCUUGUCGCAUGCAAGGGUCGAGAUUGAGGAACUCAGCAUGCACCUUUGGGUGUCGGGGCUUUGCCCACGAUACGUGCUUAGGAUGUUGACGUAAUGGCUUUAAACGACCCGUCUUGAAACACGGACCAAGGAGUCUAACAUGCCCGCGAGUGUUCGGGUGGAAAACCCGUGCGCGCAAUGAAAGUGAAAGUUGGGACCUCUGUCGUGGAGGGCACCGACGCCCGGACCAGACCUUCUGUGACGGCUCUGCGGUAGAGCGUGUAUGUUAGGACCCGAAAGAUGGUGAACUAUGCCUGAAUAGGGUGAAGCCAGAGGAAACUCUGGUGGAGGCUCGUAGCGAUUCUGACGUGCAAAUCGAUCGUCAAAUUUGGGUAUAGGGGCGAAAGAC
rnacentral:rRNA from 1 species